rnacentral:rRNA from 1 species
AACGCGUAUGCAAUCUACCUACAACAAGGGGAUAACCCGUUGAAAGACGGACUAUACCCUAUAAUACAGGGGUUCCGCAUGGGACUAUUUGUUUAAAGAUUCAUCGGUUGUAGAUGAGCAUGCGUUCCAUUAGCUGGUUGGUGAGGUAAACGGCCCACCAAGGCAACGAUGGAUAGGGGAACUGAGAGGGUUUAUCCCCCACACUGGUACUGAGACACGGACCAGACUCCUACGGGAGGCAGCAGUGAGGAAUAUUGGUCAAUGGACGCAAGUCUGAACCAGCCACGUCGCGUGAAGGAAGACGGCCCUACGGGUUGUAAACUUCUUUUGUAAGGGAAUAAAGUGAGUCACGUGUGACUUUUUGCAUGUACCUUACGAAUAAGGAUCGGCUAACUCCGUGCCAGCAGCCGCGGUAAUACGGAGGAUCCGAGCGUUAUCCGGAUUUAUUGGGGUUUAAAGGGUGCGCAGGCGGGAGAUUAAGUCGGCGGUGAAAUUUUGCAGCUCAACUGUAAAAGUGCCAUCGAUACUGGUUUUCUUGAGUGUGGAUGAAGUAGGCGGAAUUUGUGGUGUAGCGGUGAAAUGCAUAGAUAUCACGAGGAACACCGAUUGCGCAGGCAGCUUACUAAACCAUAACUGACGCUCAGGCACGAAGGCGUGGGGAUCAAACAGGAUUAGAUAC